GACGAACGCUGGCGGCGCGCCUAACACAUGCAAGUCGAACGAGCGAGAGAGAGCUUGCUUUCUCGAGCGAGUGGCGAACGGGUGAGUAACGCGUGAGGAACCUGCCUCAAAGAGGGGGACAACAGUUGGAAACGACUGCUAAUACCGCAUAAGCCCACGGUGCCGCAUGGCACAGAGGGAAAAGGAGCAAUCCGCUUUGAGAUGGCCUCGCGUCCGAUUAGCUAGUUGGUGAGGUAAUGGCCCACCAAGGCGACGAUCGGUAGCCGGACUGAGAGGUUGAACGGCCACAUUGGGACUGAGACACGGCCCAGACUCCUACGGGAGGCAGCAGUGGGGAAUAUUGCACAAUGGGGGAAACCCUGAUGCAGCGACGCCGCGUGGAGGAAGAAGGUCUUCGGAUUGUGAACUCCUGUUGUUGGGGAAGAUAAUGACGGUACCCAACAAGGAAGUGACGGCUAACUACGUA
rnacentral:rRNA from 1 species